UACGUAGGGGGCAAGCGUUGUCCGGAAUCAUUGGGCGUAAAGAGCGUGUAGGCGGCCAGAUAAGUCCGCUGUGAAAUCUCGAGGCUCAACUUCGAGCUGUCGGUGGAAACUGUCUGGCUAGAGUCCGGAAGAGGAGAAUGGAAUUCCCGGUGUAGCGGUGAAAUGCGUAGAGAUCGGGAGGAACACCAGCGGCGAAGGCGGCAACCUGGAUAGGUACUGACACUCAAAUACGAAAGCGUGGGGAGCAAACAGG
rnacentral:rRNA from 1 species